rnacentral:tRNA from 2 species
UGGGGAGUAGCCAAGUGGUAAGGCAACGGACUUUGACUCCGUGAUGCGUAGGUUCGAAUCCUACCUCCCCAGCCA